rnacentral:rRNA from 1 species
AGAGUUUGAUCCUGGCUCAGGAUGAACGCUAGCGGCAGGCCUAAUACAUGCAAGUCGGACGGGAUUCAGGGAGUAGCUUGCUACAAACUGAUGAGAGUGGCGCACGGGUGCGUAACGCGUGAGCAACCUACCCAUAUCAGGGGGAUAGCCUCUCGAAAGAGAGAUUAACACCGCAUAACAUCAUUUACCGGCAUCGGUUUGUGAUCAAAUAUUUAUAGGAUAUGGAUGGGCUCGCGUGACAUUAGCUAGUUGGAGAGGUAACGGCUCACCAAGGCUACGAUGUCUAGGGGCUCUGAGAGGAGAAUCCCCCACACUGGUACUGAGACACGGACCAGACUCCUACGGGAGGCAGCAGUAAGGAAUAUUGGUCAAUGGAGGCAACUCUGAACCAGCCAUGCCGCGUGCAGGAUGACUGCCCUAUGGGUUGUAAACUGCUUUUGUCAGGGAAUAAACCUUUCUACGUGUAGAAAGCUGAAUGUACCUGAAGAAUAAGGAUCGGCUAACUCCGUGCCAGCAGCCGCGGUAAUACGGAGGAUCCAAGCGUUAUCCGGAUUUAUUGGGUUUAAAGGGUGCGUAGGCGGUCCUAUAAGUCAGUGGUGAAAGACGGCAGCUUAACUGUCGCAGUGCCUUUGAUACUGUAGGACUUGAAUCUAUUUGAAGUGGGCGGAAUAAGACAAGUAGCGGUGAAAUGCAUAGAUAUGUCUUAGAACUCCGAUUGCGAAGGCAGCUCACUAAGUUAGUAUUGACGCUGAUGCACGAAAGCGUGGGGAUCAAACAGGAUUAGAUACCCUGGUAGUCCACGCCCUAAACGAUGAUAACUCGAUGUUUGCGAUACACAGUAAGCGUCCAAGCGAAAGCGUUAAGUUAUCCACCUGGGGAGUACGGUCGCAAGAUUGAAACUCAAAGGAAUUGACGGGGGCCCGCACAAGCGGAGGAGCAUGUGGUUUAAUUCGAUGAUACGCG